UACAGAGGGUGUAAGCGUUAAUCGGAAUUACUGGGCGUAAAGCGCGCGUAGGCGGUUUGGUAAGUUGAAUGUGAAAGCCCCGGGCUCAACCUGGGAACUGCAUCCAAGACUGGCCGGCUAGAGUACAGUAGAGGGUGGUGGAAAUUCCUGUGUAGCGGUGAAAUGCGUAGAUAUAGGAAGGAACACCAGUGGUGAAGGCGACCACCUGGACUGAUACUGACACUGAGGUGCGAAAGCGUGGGGAGCAAACAGG
rnacentral:misc_RNA from 1 species